CCGUCUAAGUUGUUCCAGAGUCUUCCAGCGUGUAAAGAGAGAUAGAGUUCGCUUGGGUACUUUAUAGGUGUCCGCCAUCGUCUCCACUUGAUCCUUCGUGUCAGAAAGAAGCUGUCCUACUAAAAUGGGGAGAUUGCCACAUAGGAGCAUCGUUACAUACCAAUUUCCUCGCAGUUGAAAUACAAAACUUUUCUACUGGAUUCCAAAAUAACUGACUGCUUAAUCAUAUAGCACCAUGGUGUGCGUGGAACGUGACGUCACGCAGUGUCGUCAGCUAAAACUUUUCAUGGAUUACGUGAUAACCAAAUCUUCUUCCUGCAAUAUUGAACAUUUUGUUUGUUGUUGUUUUAUGGAACUGUCUUCGUCCAACCUUCUACCCCAUCACAAUUAUUAGCGUGUAUAUUCGUUUACUAUAAAAUAUGUAGACCCAACUUGUGUACCCUGGGAGUUACAUCAAAUUGGCUAACGCGAUUCGAUCGUUAUCUCGUGCGCGUUGGUGCCUGGUUAUUUCUUCACGUCCGGUUUCCGGAAUCUAAUUUACCAAACCAACUCUGUCUACUUUCUGUGUAUAAUUUGAAUUAUGUCAUGUUUCAAUUAUUUUUCUUAUUACGCAGAAAUGCAACAUCGUAAUCCCCUAUCUACCUGCUAUAUAUUUCUGUUUGCUCAGUCUCUGUAUUAUUUUUUACAGCAUUUAAUAUUCUUAUAUCUUCUGUGCUCUCAUAACCCAGGUAAAUUGAGGUGAAGAAUACAGGAAUGCAUUCAUUUA